AAUUUCUAAAUCUCGGGUUUU
rnacentral:sRNA from 1 species